AAGUCCCUCGUACCUACACAAACAAAUAAGAACCUCGUAACCAACGCGAUAAAGGGGUUGUCAAUCCCUUCACGGCCACUUGUGAAAGUGAGAUCUGAUAGAGAUAAUAAGAUAAGAUAAAUAAUGAUAAAUAAUUUUGGUAUUUUUAUGAUAUAGAUUGAAAAGUAAAGAUUGAAAAAUAAAGUAGAUUGGAAACUUAUAUGAUGGAAGAUAGACCCGGCGAUAGCAGGGGUAGCAAGGCACGUAUUGUAUUGGUGGAGCAGUUUGGCAUUGAAGACUUCAUCAUGUUCCACAUGGACUUUGACCCGGAGCUCGUGGCACAGUUCUUUGCUUCCGUCCACUUUCACACGGAUGGGGAGCGGACUAUGACUUGGAUGACCAAUGGGAAGAGGUUGUCUGCUACUUGGAAGGAAUUCAUGGAGAUGCUGCAUGUUCGUGAUGAGGGGCUCGAUGUGCCCGUUGGUGCCCGCCCUCACGGCAACCCAGAGUCCGCCAACAAGAACAAGCUUCAACAGUUCCUUGUGGAGAAGAAGUUAGCCAAUGGCACGCAGUCUUGGGUGCUCAACCCUUUCCUCAAUAUCAUGCAGCGGAUCUUCCGCAACACUCUCUUUCCGGGCAUUGGUGACAAGGAUAAGGUGCAUGCUUAUCUCGUGGAUAUGAUGCUUCUGUGUGAGGAGGCACGUCAUCAUGCUGCCCAACCACUGGACAUCUCUCAUAUCAUGUGGGGUGAGCUCCGGUUUGCGGUCUACAAUCGCAAAGUUCCCAUCUACAGUCCAUACCUGCACCUCUUGAUCUCGAAGACAUGGAGAAGCUCUAUCCGAAGGAAGACUUUUCUGCUCCAAACUGGGUUCACCACGAGCCUAUCAGCUAUGUCAGAAGAACAAAUGGGCCAAUACCACUACCAAGGCUGAGGCUGAGGCUGCUAGGAUGAAUGUUGAUGAGGACGAGGUUGAGGAGGAGGAGGCUGAGGACAGUUCUGUUGGGUAUGCUCCUCCAUCUUCUGAGCCCUCUUGGGAUAAGAAGCUGAAGGCAAAGAUGAAGACCCUGUUCUACAUGCAGGCCAAGGGGCAGUACAAGACCCAUGUUGCUUCCAAAUCGCUAGCGCGACAAGAGGAUCUUGAGGAUGUUCAGCAAGAUCGUGGAGAGCGGGUCAGAGAAGAACAUCACUCCUGAGGCUGACUGGAUGACCAAGCAGGGCUAUUAGUGGACCGAGUCAGAGGAGGAGUCCAAUCCCGCUACCGAGACCGAUGAGGAGCGUGUUGGGUGAUCGUUGCACAGGAUGCUACCACAUGUGUCGUAGGUGUCCUCUCUGCCUUUUUCGUGUCUUGAUGCCAAAGGGGGAGAGAGUUUAGGAUUUGCUUUCAUGUCUCUGUUGUCAUUUUGUUGGACCUUCGUUCGUGUUGCUUUGGUUUGUUGGUUUGCAUUUGUGUUCGUGUGUGUCCCGGAGACUAUCAUAUGGUGUAAGACAUAUGCACUAAAGCUUAUCUUAUUAUCUAUUUUGCUUAGUAGUUUGUGAGCCUAUGCUAUCUUGUGCACUUUACUUUAUGCUCAUAUUCAUUACCUUGCCUCCAUGCUUAGUGUCAUUUACAUAUUGUUGCAAGGAAUGCCUUGUCUAUAAAAUAUAGGGGGAGUGUUGAUCCUAGUAGGUGUGCCGUGCAGUCCAAGGCAUAUAUAUAGAGUGCACACAUCUAGGGGGAGCCUGUCUAUAUUGUGUAGAUGUUGGGUUUGCUUAUGUUCAUUUUUGUAUCCUUAUGUGCAAAUUCUGUAUUGUCAUCAAUCCACCAAAAGGGGGGAGAUUGUAAGGGCAUAUUUCUCCCUAUGUGGUUUUGGUGAUUGAUGACAAUGCAUUUGCGGACUAAUCAUGUGCAUUGAGCAUUUCAGAUAUCUCAUGUCUAGGCACAAGACGUUUCGUUGCCCCUUGGAGCCUGAGUGAAGAUGGCGUUUCUCUAUGUUUCUUUUCGGUGGAUUUGAGUCAUACGAAAGCCGUACUAUUAAGAGGGGGUCCGUGUCGGAAAGGUUAGGGUGGAAUCAACACGUACACAUCUGUUCCUUUGCACACCGACCUUUUAUCCGUGUCUUUGCAAAAUGAAGGACUCCAAGUGGUAUUGUGUUGUGGCAUGCGGUAGUACUACUCAAGGGAGCAGUAGUACCACAGAGGCUCACGGUAGUACUUGCCAGAGACGCGGUAGUACCGCUCCUCAGGCGCGGUAGUACCAUGGCCUCUAGUCCAGCAUAGUAACAUGCGCGGAAGUAGGGGCGGAUGUAAUUUUUUACAUUUGCGCCCUACACGGUAGUACCGCUCCCUACUUGUGGUAGUACCGUGUCGGAUUUUUGCACAAAUCAAAACUCAGCGGAAGUAGUCACGGGUGUAAUUUUAUUAGUCCGUGCCUUCCCAGCCUAGACAAACCCUGCCUUGCGGUAGUACCGCAAGGGCGCGCGGUAGUACCGCUCUGGCGGUUCUACCGCUCCUUGCUUCAAUGCAACAGGGGCUCGUUUGGCUCCUACCGUGCAAGCGGUAGUACCGUAGUGCCUUGCGGUAGUACCGCAGGUUGGUGCGGUAGUACCGCAUGUAGCGGGUUGAAUAAGUAGAUAACGGUUGGAUUUUUCCUCUCACUAUAUAAGGGGGGUCUUCUUCUCCAAGUUGAUCACCUCUUCCAUCCCUAAGCUCCAUUCUUGCUCCAAGCUCCAUUUUACCCGAUCUCUCUCCCUAGCCAAUCAAACUUGUUGAUUCUCUAAGGAUUGGUUGAGAAGGCCCCGAUCUACACUUCCACCAAGAGAAAUUUGAUUCCCCCCACUAAUCCCUUGCGGAUCUUGUUACUCUCGGCUGUUUGAGCACCCUAGACGGUUGAGGUCACCGCGGAGCCAUAUUCCAUUGUGGUGAAGCUUCAUGGUGUCGUUGGGAGCCUCCAAUUAAGUUGUGGAGAUUGCCCCAACCUUGUUUAUAAAGGUUCGGUCGCCUCCUCCAAGGGCACCAAUAGUGGAAUCAUGGCAUCUCGCAUUGUGUGAGGGCGUGAGGAGAAUACAGUGCCCUAGUGGCUUCUUGGGGAGCAUUGUUCCUCCACACUACUCCAACGGGGACGUACUUCCUCUCAAAGGGAAGGAACUUCGUAACACAUCCUCAUCUCCACCGACUCCAUUCUUGGUUAUCUCUCACCUUUACUUGUGCAAGCUUAUAUUGUGUUGUAUCCCUUGCUUGCUUGUGUGCUUGUUGUUGUUGCAUCAUAUAGGUUGCUCACCUAGUUGCAUAUUUAGACAACCUACUUUGAUGCAAAGUUUAAUUUGGUAAGGAAAAGCUAAAAAUUGUUAGUUGCCUAUUCACCCCUCCUCUAGUCAACUAUAUCGAUCCUUUCAGAUUCUUUCAAAGCGGUUUGAGUGGAUGCUAGAAAUCCUAUGGGAUGUAGUUAAAAAAAUUCUUAGAAAAAAAAUUCUAUAGGGUUUAAUUCUAUAAAUAAAAAUAUAUAAAAAAAUCCUAAGAAUUCUAAUCCUGAGAUCCAUAUGGUGGUGGGUUCACUGCCAAAAGAGUGGUGGGAUUUUCUUCUCUGGUGGUGCGACCCGCAAAAGUCCUCUUCUGAGGUAGCAGACAUUGCACAUAAGCGGCGGGCAGCAUUUCGGCCAUGGGCGGCCGUGACUAGGGUCAAUCUCCUUCUAGAUAUCGAGAUGGGGCUGGGCCUGCUACCAAAAGAGUGGUGUGAUUUUCUUAUCUGGUGUUGUACGCAGAAGUCCCCUUCUAGGGCGACAACCAUUGGCACAAAGGCAGUGAAAAGCAUUUCUGCCAUGUGGAUGGCGGCGAUGAGGUCGGUCUCCUUCUAUAGCUUGAGAUGGCGGUGGGCCCACUAGCAAAAGAGUGGUGGGAUUUUCUUCUUUGGUGGUUUAGCGACCCGCAAAAGUCCUCUUCUAGGGUGGCAUCAAUUUGCACACAUGUCAGGGGCAUUGUUUUAGCCAUGUGGAUAACCGGGGCAAGGGUCGAUCUUCUUUCAGAGAUUGAGAUGGUGGUGGGCCCACUGCCAAAAGACCGGUGGUUUUUCUUCUCUGGUGGUGUAGCAACACGCAAAAGUCUUCUUCUAGGGCGGCAGGCAUUGGCACACAUGCGGGUGGGCAACUUUUGAGCCAUGUGGAUGGUGGGGCAUCACGUGAUUGUGUCAUGGUAGCAACUAGUGUGGAUAAUAGGGGUGUCAUAGGUGACGCUUCGACUGCGCCGCUCGAGCAUGCUAUGUCAAACCAUUAUCUAUUCACUCACUGAAAUGAAUCAAUGGAUAUAGUUCAAUGCUUACCAUCUAGGUUAGCUAUGCUCGGUAACCAUCUAGUGAAACCUUCCAUGUUACAUGAGAACAAUUCUUUUCGAUUUUAAGACCCAUUACUACAGGUGGUCGCUAACCAUGUUAAGAUAUUUUGUGCACAACAACGAUCUUCUUUGGAAGGACCAUUGGCUACGAGCGAGGUGACGCUUUGUCCGGGUAGGAAUGACUGAGUGUCACGUGACUGCAUAAUGCAUGGCAUUGAUCUAUGUCUGUCAUUGGUGACUCUUAGUCAUGUCACUAGAGCAUACACGCUGCAACCAUGUAGUGGUGAUUUGUCUUCUCCUCCAUUCAUCAACAACGUUUGAACUGUUGGAUCACAUAAUUAGAUUAAACACCGACAUUGAUUUUGUUAAGAUCUUGGAUGAUUAGUGCAUGAUCUAGAGGAGUUCUGCUGGUGGCAUGCGAGGACCAUCUCCUGGGGAUAUCAUGGUGGAUUGAGACAAAGUCAUGGAUGGUGAAACUCUUUGACGAUCCUCAUUCAACAUAGUGACUAAAACACCACUUCAGUCCUGGGUGAAAACUCGCGAUCUCACCUUUGUUGGUUAGAGUCCACAAUGGCGCACUCGCGUAGCCUGUUGAAGGUUUGGCCUGAAAGAAUGGCGACAUUUCAUAGGUUCUUUUUUUCACCUUUGUCAUGGACAUGUCAUUUGCUAUCCACUCCAUGUACUCAAGAUGCUUGCCUUGCAUGUAUCUUCUACAGUGGCGGAGCUAGCAUUUGACACCAAGGUGGUCCGCCUCAAAUUUUUUUUAUAAGCAAUAUGACAUGUAAAAGUUCUUACCAAUAUCACAAAGAAAUAGAUCAAUAUCACAAUAUGAUCUUGCAAAAACACUAAAAUUCUCAAUUAAAUCUCCGUCUUGCAUAAAAAAGCCUACAUAGUACAUACUACACAGACCAUAGUACAUACCUUGAGAAGUUCAAAAAGACUAUGUUUCUGGCAUACACACAAGUUCUCCGGUUUGCUCUUCGGCCACAUCCGACAUAUUCCCUGCCUUCUUCUUCUUCCCUAUCUUAAUAGCUUGUCUCUGAAAAAGAGAAACAAUGUCUCGUCCGGCCCUCUUCAUUCCUCAACAAUUCUGUAACAAAAAAUACUUUCGAUCAAUAAAGCUAAUUGAGGCAGAAAUAAUGUACAAAAUUAUGUAUCUGUUCAUUCAUGUACAAAAAAAUUGCAGUCAAAAGGGAAGGAACAAAUCAGUCCCUGGAACAUAUGGGUACUCCACGAUGGUCCGAAACUGUAACUAGACAAACAUAGCUGCCAUAAUUCCAUGUUUUACAGUUUAUAUCUUAUAUAAAUUAUCUUCCUCACAGCGUAAAUCAAACAAAUUGAAACGCAAUAUGCCGGUACCAGAUAAAGAAAACUUAAGAUUUUUUCUUUCCUAUAAAAAGUGCUUCCACUCAGCCACACAACUAUACAGAAGACAGUAAAAGCAGAAGGAUUUGCUCUCUGCGCAUCUACAUCUAUGUGAUGAGACAACCAUGAUCCAUCAGACCAUCACAGGUACAUGGAGUACCACACAACAACUUACUACACUGCACAUUGAGAUUCCAGAUCCACACAGCAACAAACCAUGCAUAGCUAUGAUCAGAUUCUGCCGGGAGUUACUAAAAGUGAGGCCAUAAGAUGGAGCAAGCAUAGGCAGGUUAUUAAAGGAUUGAAAUUGAGGCAAAAAAGAAAACCCUCGCUUGUGUUCAUACAGAAAAUUGAGCCAAAAGAGCAAACCCUCACUUGUUCGCCGACAUUGCAGGGGGGCGGCCGGGCGGGGGCAGGCCAGCAGGGGCGCGCACAGGGCAGGGGCGCAGCCGCGCACAAGCAGGGGGUGCGGCUGGACGCCUGGACGCCUGGACCGGGCGGGUGGGAAGCCGGGAAGGGGAGGCGGGAGCGGGGAGCCUCCUGGGCGGCUGGGCUCCGGGCUCCGGGCGGCCGGAGACCGGCGAGGACGAGAGGAACGGCGCAACGGCUGGGUGUCGGGGUGGAGCAGGGGAACGGCGAGGCGGCUGUGCGCGAGGGGG
rnacentral:lncRNA from 1 species